CAGGAACACUUCCCUGGACAGGGGGCUUUGUGGGAGCUGUGAGGAUUGCUCUGUGCCCAUGAAUGGGGACUGCUUCCUGCUGGUGACAGCUGGCAGUUUUCUGGUUUAUUAUGCUAGGUUUUUCAAAACACUUCCCCUCCCUGGGCUGGACAUUUAUCUAUUAUAGAUAAGAUAAGGGGGGUCGGAGAAGGUUAUGUGACAGUAAUUGGAGGGAGCUCAGCCCCUCCACGGAGCAGCCGGGUGAUUUCUGCAGUGUAUUUUGUUCGGUAGCACUUGAUGGAACAGCAAUUGGAGAGAUUUACAGACAUUAUCAUGGCAAAUGUCCAGCAGACCAGAUAUGGGGUGAUUGGUUGUUUGAAGGUAAAAGAUUGAAGUUUGCUGGGAGAUACCAACUGACAUGGAAGUUGCUGGAUUAAUGGGAAGAGACCCCCGUCACCUUAGAAGAAUUCUCGGAAUGGCUCAGAAAUAAACAGAACCUCAAGAAGCAGAGGGAUUUGAUUGCACGGGAGCUGGACUUCUAGAUUAGGACAUUUACAUGGUUUGGGUUUGUGCUGCCACCGAAAUCACAUGUCAAAUUUAAUCCCCAGUGUCGGAGGUGGAACCUGGUGGGAGGUGACUGGAUCAUGGGGUGAAUUUUCCCUUUGAGGCUGUUCUCAUGAUAGUGACUGAGUUAUCAUGAUGUCAGGUUAUUUAAAAGUGUGUAGCAUCUCCCCACUUUCUGUAUUCCUCCUGCUCUAGCCGUGUGAAGAUGUGCCUGUUUCCCCUUCGCCUUCCACCAUGACUGUAAGUUUCCUGAGGACUCCCCAGUCAUGCUUCCUGUAUAGCCUGUGGAACCGUGAGCUAAUUAAAACCUCUUGUCUUUGUAAAUUACCCAGUCUCAGGUAUUUCUUAACAGCAGU
rnacentral:lncRNA from 1 species